rnacentral:rRNA from 1 species
UACGGAGGGUGCAAGCGUUAUCCGGAUUCACUGGGUUUAAAGGGUGCGUAGGUGGGCAGGUAAGUCAGUGGUGAAAUCUUUGGGCUUAACCCGAAACUGCCAUUGAUACUAUUUGUCUUGAAUAUUGUGGAGGUCAGCGGAAUAUGUCAUGUAGCGGUGAAAUGCUUAGAUAUGACAUAGAACACCAAUUGCGAAGGCAGCUGGCUACACAUAUAUUGACACUGAUGCACGAAAGCGUGGGGAAUCAAACCAGGAGUU